rnacentral:rRNA from 1 species
CGAACGCUGGCGGCGUGCUUAACACAUGCAAGUCGAACGAGGACUAGAGUGCUUGCACUCUAUAGCCGAGUGGCGAACGGGUGAGUAACACGUGACCAACCUGUCUUUAGGCGGGGGACAACCUAGGGAAACCUGGGCUAAUACCGCAUGAUGUCUUUUCUUCGCAUGGAGAGCUGACCAAAUGGAGCCUCUACUUGUAAGCUCCAGCCUAAUGAGGGGGUCGCGACGUAUCAGCUUGUUGGUGAGGUAAUGGCUCACCAAGGCUACGACGCGUAGCGGGUCUGAGAGGACGAUCCGUCACAUUGGGACUGAGAUACGGCCCAGACUCCUACGGGAGGCAGCAGUGGGGAAUAUUGCGCAAUGGGCGAAAGCCUGACGCAGCGACGCCGCGUGUGGGAGGAAGCCUUUCGGGGUGUAAACCACUGUCAGGGGGGAAGAAACCCGAUCAUCUGAAUAGGGUGGUCGAUUGACGGUACCUCCAGAGGAAGCGCCGGCUAACUCC